UACGUAAUUAAUUAUUUCGAUUCUAAAUUUUUUUUUAUAUAAUUAAUUUUUAUUAAGAUUUAUUUUGGUAUCGAGGUCAGUCUGUUGGAAGCGUGAUUUCCUCUUAUACCAACUGUCGAAACCGGUAUUUGUACUGGUACCGAUUAUAUAUAACCCAAAAUCUAAAAUCAAACAAAAUAAUAUGAAAAAGAGAUAUUGGAGGAGGAGGAAAAUAACUAAACUAAUAAGCAAUUAAUUACAUUCUAUAAACUCCCAUGCAGUCGUGUCUAUUAUGACUUAUUCAUCUAAUUAACCCAUGCCUAACUAUAUAUAGCUACCAAAUCGAUGAUAAAUCCAACUUUUACUUUGGAUAAGUACAUAUCCUAACCAUAAUCAAAUAAGAGAUUUAAACUUAUCUGUAAUGAUAUUUUAAUUAAGUUUGGAUUAUUAUUUCCGACACGGUCUAACGUUAUUAGAUAAAAUGGAAGGUAAUUUCAUCGCAACCCCAAACAAUACCUAAAAUUUGCAUAGUAUUUCGCUGAGUUUAGAUAGAAAGCUAUUUCUUUAAAGUGAGUUUGUAAAACUAUUUAGCAAAAACUUUUUGAUAUUCGCAAAUAAUAUUUUUUAACUAAAUUUUAUUUUAAAAGAAUUUAAAAUUUGAAUUUAAAUUUAAAUUUUAAA
rnacentral:lncRNA from 1 species